UACGUAGGCAGCAAGCGUUGUUCGGAGUUACUGGGCGUAAAGGGUGUGUAGGCGGUUCUUUAAGUUUGGUGUGAAAUCUCCCGGCUCAACCGGGAGGGUGCGCCGAAUACUGAGGGACUUGGAGUGCGGGAGAGGAAAGUGGAAUUCCUGGUGUAGCGGUGAAAUGCGUAGAUAUCAGGAGGAACACCGGUGGUGUAGACGGCUUUCUGGACCGUAACUGACGCUGAGACACGAAAGCGUGGGUAGCAAACAGG
rnacentral:rRNA from 1 species